rnacentral:rRNA from 1 species
CUACGGGAGGCAGCAGUGGGGAAUAUUGCACAAUGGGCGCAAGCCUGAUGCAGCGACGCCGCGUGAGGGAUGGAGGCCUUCGGGUUGUAAACCUCUUUUGUUAGGGAGCAAGGCACUUUGUGUUGAGUGUACCUUUCGAAUAAGCACCGGCUAACUACGUGCCAGCAGCCGCGGUAAUACGUAGGGUGCAAGCGUUAUCCGGAAUUAUUGGGCGUAAAGGGCUCGUAGGCGGUUCGUCGCGUCCGGUGUGAAAGUCCAUCGCUUAACGGUGGAUCCGCGCCGGGUACGGGCGGGCUUGAGUGCGGUAGGGGAGACUGGAAUUCCCGGUGUAACGGUGGAAUGUGUAGAUAUCGGGAAGAACACCAAUGGCGAAGGCAGGUCUCUGGGCCGUUACUGACGCUGAGGAGCGAAAGCGUGGGGAGCGAACAGGAUUAGAUACCCUGGUAGUCCACGCCGUAAACGGUGGAUGCUGGAUGUGGGGCCCGUUCCACGGGUUCCGUGUCGGAGCUAACGCGUUAAGCAUCCCGCCUGGGGAGUACGGCCGCAAGGCUAAAACUCAAAGAAAUUGACGGGGGCCCGCACAAGCGGCGGAGCAUGCGGAUUAAUUCGAUGCAACGCGAAGAACCUUACCUGGGCUUGACAUGUUCCCGACGAUCCCAGAGAUGGGGUUUCCCUUCGGGGCGGGUUCACAGGUGGUGCAUGGUCGUCGUCAGCUCGUGUCGUGAGAUGUUGGGUUAAGUCCCGCAACGAGCGCAACCCUCGCCCCGUGUUGCCAGCGGAUUGUGCCGGGAACUCACGGGGGACCGCCGGGGUUAACUCGGAGGAAGGUGGGGAUGACGUCAGAUCAUCAUGCCCCUUACGUCCAGGGCUUCACGCAUGCUACAAUGGCCGGUACAACGGGAUGCGACAGCGCGAGCUGGAGCGGAUCCCUGAAAACCGGUCUCAGUUCGGAUCGCAGUCUGCAACUCGACUGCGUGAAGGCGGAGUCGCUAGUAAUCGCGAAUCAGCAACGUCGCGGUGAAUGCGUUCCCGGGCCUUGUACACACCGCCCGUCAAGUCAUGAAAGUGGGCAGCACCCGAAGCCGGUGGCCUAACCCCUUGCGGGAGGGAGCCGUCUAAGGUGAGGCUCGUGAUUGGGACUAAGUCGUAACAAGGUAGCCGUACCGGAAGGUGCGGCUG